rnacentral:rRNA from 1 species
UACGUAGGUGGCAAGCGUUGUCCGGAUUUACUGGGUGUAAAGGGCGUGCAGCCGGAGAGACAAGUCAGAUGUGAAAUCCACGGGCUCAACCCGUGAACUGCAUUUGAAACUGUUUCCCUUGAGUGUCGAAGAGGUAAUCGGAAUUCCUUGUGUAGCGGUGAAAUGCGUAGAUAUAAGGAAGAACACCAGUGGCGAAGGCGGAUUACUGGACGAUAACUGACGGUGAGGCGCGAAAGCGUGGGGAGCAAACAGG